CAGGCAACGACCCGAAGGGUGAAGCGCGCAGCGCUGAGUAAUCCUUCCCCCACCACCA
rnacentral:sRNA from 1 species